rnacentral:rRNA from 1 species
UGAGGGGGAAAGUGGGGGAUCGCAAGACCUCACGUUAUUCGAGCGGCCGACGUCUGAUUAGCUAGUUGGUGGGGUAAUGGCUCACCAAGGCGACGAUCAGUAGCGGGUCUGAGAGGAUGAUCCGCCACACUGGGACUGAGACACGGCCCAGACUCCUACGGGAGGCAGCAGUGGGGAAUUUUGGACAAUGGGGGCAACCCUGAUCCAGCCAUUCCGCGUGAGUGAAGAAGGCCUUCGGGUUGUAAAGCUCUUUCAGCAGGAACGAAACGGUAGGGGCUAAUACCCUCUGCUAAUGACGGUACCUGCAGAAGAAGCACCGGCUAACUACGUGCCAGCAGCCGCGGUAAUACGUAGGGUGCGAGCGUUAAUCGGAAUUACUGGGCGUAAAGCGUGCGCAGGCGGAUUGUUAAGCAAGACGUGAAAUCCCCGGGCUUAACCUGGGAAUGGCGUUUUGAACUGGCAGUCUAGAGUGUGUCAGAGGGGGGUGGAAUUCCACGUGUAGCAGUGAAAUGCGUAGAGAUGUGGAGGAACACCAAUGGCGAAGGCAGCCCCCUGGGAUAACACUGACGCUCAUGUACGAAAGCGUGGGUAGCAAACAGGAUUAGAUACCCUGGUAGUCCACGCCCUAAACGAUGUCAACUGGUUGUUGGGGGAGUGAAAUCCCUUAGUAACGAAGCUAACGCGUGAAGUUGACCGCCUGGGGAGUACGGUCGCAAGAUUAAAACUCAAAGGAAUUGACGGGGACCCGCACAAGCGGUGGAUGAUGUGGAUUAAUUCGAUGCAACGCGAAAAACCUUACCUACCCUUGACAUGUCCAGAAUCCUGCAGAGAUGCGGGAGUGCCCGAAAGGGAAUUGGAACACAGGUGCUGCAUGGCUGUCGUCAGCUCGUGUCGUGAGAUGUUGGGUUAAGUCCCGCAACGAGCGCAACCCUUAUCAUUAGUUGCUACGCAAGGGCACUCUAAUGAGACUGCCGGUGACAAACCGGAGGAAGGUGGGGAUGACGUCAAGUCCUCAUGGCCCUUAUGGGUAGGGCUUCACACGUCAUACAAUGGUCGGUACAGAGGGUUGCCAAGCCGCGAGGUGGAGCCAAUCCCAGAAAGCCGAUCGUAGUCCGGAUUGUUCUCUGCAACUCGAGAGCAUGAAGUCGGAAUCGCUAGUAAUCGCGGAUCAGCAUGUCGCGGUGAAUACGUUCCCGGGUCUUGUACACACCGCCCGUCACACCAUGGGAGUGGAAUCUGCCAGAAGUAGGUAGCCUAACCGCAAGGAGGGCGCUUACCACGGUGGG